rnacentral:rRNA from 1 species
GAUGAACGCUGGCGGCGUGCCUAAUACAUGCAAGUCGAGCGAACGGACGAGAAGCUUGCUUCUCUGAUGUUAGCGGCGGACGGGUGAGUAACACGUGGAUAACCUACCUAUAAGACUGGGAUAACUUCGGGAAACCGUAGCUAAUACCGGAUAAUAUUUUGAACCGCAUGGUUCAAAAGUGAAAGACGGUCUUGCUGUCACUUAUAGAUGGAUGCGCGCUGCAUUAGCUAGUUGGUAAGGUAACGGCUUACCAAGGCAACGAUGCAUAGCCGACCUGAGAGGGUGAUCGGCCACACUGGAACUGAGACACGGUCCAGACUCCUACGGGAGGCAGCAGUAGGGAAUCUUCCGCAAUGGGCGAAAGCCUGACGGAGCAACGCCGCGUGAGUGAUGAAGGUCUUCGGAUCGUAAAACUCUGUUAUUAGGGAAGAACAUAUGUGUAAGUAACUGUGCACAUCUUGACGGUACCUAAUCAGAAAGCCACGGCUAACUACGUG